rnacentral:lncRNA from 1 species
AAGGCUGCACCUGUGGCAUAUGGAAAUUCCCAGGCUAGGGGUCAAAUCGGAAUUGCAGCUGCUGGCCACAGCCACAGCCAUGCUACAUCCAAGCUGCAUCCAUGACCCACACCACAGCUCAUAGCAACGCUGGAUCCUUAACCCACUGAGUGAGGCCAGAGAUUGAACUUGAAGCCACAUGGAUACUAGUUGGUUUCUUAACCCACUGAGCCAUAAUGGGAACUCCCAAAAGUGGAUCUCUCUUUUUUUUUUUUUUUUUUUUUUUCUUUUUGCUAUUUCUUGGGCCACUCCCGCGGCAUAUGAAGGUUCCCAGGUAGGGGUCAAUCGGAGCUGUAGCCACCGGCCUACGCCAGAGCCACAGAAACGCAGGAUCCGAGCCGCAUCUGCAACCUAUACUACAGUUCACGGCAAUGCCGGAUCGUUAACCCACUGAGCAAGGGCAGGGACCGAACCCGCAACCUCACGGUUCCUAGUCGGAUUCGUUAACCACUGCACCACGACAGGAACUCCCCAAAAGUGGAUCUUGAAGGCCACCUGGAAACAACCUUAUCCUACCCUGCAUCCCCUGUGGAAUGUAAAAGAGGGAGGGACAGGAUCCGGAAGCCACUGUGACUUUUGGUCCUGAAGCAGCUGUGAUGUUCCUACAACACACAGGAAGUCAGAAGAGAGGAGGCAGGGGGCAGGCACCCUUCUCUGUACCCUCAGUGGGAAGUCACCAGCCCAUUUCAUAGCCAAAGGCUUGGAUGGUUCACGUCUGGAGUGUGGCGAAUGUCCUCAUCGUCAAGGGUGCUUAACCCUCAGUUCUCUAAUCCAUGAAAUGGGUCUGAUAAUGACUGUCUCCCAAAGCCACUUUGCCAUUGUGGCUCAGUGGUUAACGUACCUGACUAGUAACCAUGAGGUUGCAGGUUCGAUCCCUGGCCCUUCUCAGUGGGUUAAGGAUCUGGCGUUGCCGUGAGCUGUGGUAGCGGCCUGGAUCCAGUGUUGCUGUGGCUGUGGUGUAGGCUGGCAGCUGUAGCUCCAAUUAGACCCCUAGCCUGGGAAUCUCCAUAUGCUGCGGCUGCAGCCCUGAAAAGACAAAAAGAAAAAAAGUUAAAAAAAAAAAAAAAGGAAAAAGAAAAAGGGUUUUGCUGUAGGAGGCCUGACCUCAGGAAAUAUAGAAAUGAGGUGACUCUGGGUACUGGUGGAGUACUUGAGGGAGGAAGCCUCAGACCCAGAAAGUUCACUUGUCCUUAUGUUGGUCCCUACUUGCCCCUGGACUGCAGGGCUGGCAAGUGGCAAGCUGCAAACUGAACUGAGACCCAGUGGGGAGACGUGUCAGAGGUGUCCCAGACUAGCUUGAACUCCCUAUACAGCCCUUUCAGAGAGAUGACAGGGGCCAUGGGUCCCCAAGAAAGCCUGGAAGCCCUGGAUGGUCCUUUAGCAUAGGGGAUGGGCCGAGGGGGCUUGGGCGCUGCAGCUGCCAGCCCCAUUAGCACUACCGUCAUUAUCCCAGAUUUAUGUGUAUAAUCCCCCUCGCCCCAUAGCUACAGCUUCUCCCCUGGCUGCAAACUCGACUCCCCCGGAAACAGCCACGGAGCCGCCCGCUACCGGGCCAUUAGCACGCAGAGAAGGGGGUGUAAGGGGAGGGAGCAGUCAGCAGGAGGGAAUCGGGAGAGGACGAGAGAGGAGGAGGGAGGCGGGAACUGGAAAGGCUGGGAGUGAGGUGGCAAGAUGGAAGAGAAGAGGGGAAGGAAACGGGGCCGGGAGGGGAGGAGGGGCCAAGGCGGGUUGCGGGGGUAGACAAGUGUCCCAGACUGCUUGGCCUCAGAGAGCAGGACCCCAGGGCCAGCCAAGGGUCUCCUGAGCCCUGCCUGCUCAAUGUCAAGACCGAUGACGGCUUCUGCUGAGCGCCCACAGUCCAGGAGUUAUUACAAAGCCAGGAGCCUGAAACCCCUUUUUCUGGGUACCAGCGCCCAAGGCCAGGGGCCAGGUACCCCGCGUCCCCCUGGCCGAGCGAAACGACCUGCAGGGGCUGCCCCUCGGAGCCCUAGGAUUUAGGGGUGGGGGGGUGAGGGAGUCCCCGCUGCUGGGCCUCGGCCCUGAAAGGUGACAACGCCCCCAACCCUUGGGAUGGCCCCCUCUCCUCCUCCAAGUACCCCUCCCCCCCCCGCCCAGGGGCUCCAGGGAGGGGCCAAAUCCCCGCAAUUCCGAAGGAAAUCAAUGCCACAUUAAUGUAAGAUUUCCAGGCGGGGGUGGGGGGGCCCUUCAUAAAAGAUGCAUUGUUUCGAUUGCACGCUCGAGGCUCCCUCCCCGCAUCCUGCAAGAUGGCGGCGGCCCCAGUGGAGGGCGAGGAGCCGAGCCCGCCGGCCCGGGGAGCGGUGGGGGCGGGGGAAGUGCGGCCCUCUCUCCUGCUGGGGAAAGUGGGAAGAGAGGCAGGGAUGAAGGAAGGAAGAGGAGAGAGAGAAAGAGGGAGGGAAGAGGGGGCUGGGAGAACGACGGGGAGGCGAGAGCCAGUCAGAGGGAGGAGGGGG